GAUGAAGAACGUAGCGAAACGCGAUAUGUAAUGUGAAUUGCAGAAUUCAGUGAAUCAUCGAAUCUUUGAACGCAAAUGGCGCCUUCCAGUAUCCUGGGAGGCAUGCCUGUCCGAGCGUCGUUUCAACCCUCGAGCCCCCGUGGCCCGGCGUUGGGGAUCUGCCCAGGCAGUCCCCGAAAACCAGUGGCGGACCCGUUACAGGCCCUUCCCUUGCGUAGUAGCAUUCGCCUCGCAUCGGGAGCCGGCGGGCUUCCAGCCUCUAAACCCCCAUCAAGUCCGCCCCGGCGGCACCAAGGUUGACCUCGGAUCAGGUAGGAAUACCCGCUGAACUUAAGCAUAUCAAUAAGCGGAGGA
rnacentral:misc_RNA from 1 species